UGUGGAGCUUUAGACCUAAAAUAAACCACGUUUAAUAUACUAAAGUUAAUAGCAAAAACUUAGUGGAUAUUUAUUAAAGUGUCUUUGGUUGGGGCGACCGCGGAGUAAAACACAACCUCCAUGUGGAUGGGGAUACUAUCCCUAAAACUCAGAGCCUCCACUCCAAGCAACAGAAAUUCUGACCUACUGAUCCGGUAUAACCGAUUAACGAACCCAGUUACCCCA
rnacentral:rRNA from 1 species